GGUGGUGCAUGGUUGUCGUCAGCUCGUGUCGUGAGAUGUUGGGUUAAGUCCCGCAACGAGCGCAACCCUUAUUACUAGUUGCCAGCAUUUAGUUGGGCACUCUAGUGAGACUGCCGGUGACAAACCGGAGGAAGGUGGGGACGACGUCAAAUCAUCAUGCCCCUUAUGACCUGGGCUACACACGUGCUACAAUGGAUGGUACAACGAGUCGCGAGACCGCGAGGUUUAGCUAAUCUCUUAAAACCAUUCUCAGUUCGGAUUGUAGGCUGCAACUCGCCUACAUGAAGCCGGAAUCGCUAGUAAUCGCGGAUCAGCAUGCCGCGGUGAAUACGUUCCCGGGCCUUGUACAC
rnacentral:rRNA from 1 species